UCUCCAGCAAUUUUGUCUAGCUAGGAUAGUUCCUAUGUACAUACACUUUAAUUCCUGUAAAAUAGAAAAUAACAAAAUAACCUUUAGAAACUCCAUGUAAGUAAAAAUACAUUUUGAACAACAUGGAAAUAGUUUCUAUCCUAUCAAAUUCUUUGAGCAUCAAAUGUACAUCAAUUAGAUAACCAUAUGUUCAAGGGAAUAUAAACCAAUCCUAUACAAUUUCAGUAGGCAGUUACCUAAUAUUCCCUAUAUACCCAUUUAUAUUAGCACUAUGUACCUAUCUUAAGAAAAUGCAUAUUCCCAAUUUGCUUGCAUCUUUACAAUGUCGGGAUAUUUAGUAGGCUCAAUUUUGAUUUAACCUUUCAUAAUGGAGAGUGUGUUAGAAUUUAUAUUCUUGAGUUUGCCUGAUACUAGAUAGCUGAACAUGCACGUUAUUCUGAGCUCAGUCACAGGAAGAGAUUACCAGGCAGACAGGAAAAAGUUCAAGGAUGAGAAAUGCAACAUCCCUUCUGACUUCUGGGAAUCUCUGGCUCAUGACCACUGAAAAUGGAGAAGUGUCACUGAUGGUAUUGAGAACCUUCGGUCCAUGCGUCACUAAUUGCAUCUUAAAUACCCAAUGGUUUCAAUUGGACGGAUGUUUUCACUUAAGAUUUCUAUCUAAAUUAUUUGUGACUAAAAUAAAUCCUUUUGAGCUUUUCAUCUAUUUAACAAUGUGCUAAAAUUCAGAGCUAACUAGAGCUUUAUAAAGGUUCAGUACAACUUCCAUACUUUUGUACUCGGUACUUCUAUUUAUAAACUCAAGGUGCCAUUGGCUAUGCGAACUACUCUCUCAAUCUGACUGACUUUCUUCAAAGAUCAUACACAUGACCCAACCCCAGCAAAGAUCAGAUCCCUGCAGUUCUCUGUUCUUUUACACUCUUUAGAACUUUGUUUUUUAGAAUUACAUAUCUUGAGACAAGAUGUAUCACCUCACACUAGGUAGUGUGAAACUCCAUCUGCUAUUUAUCUACCCAUUCAACUGCCUGAAUGUGUCUUGUUGCAACUAUUAUCUUUUAAUAUUGGUAUUAUCUUUGCUGCUUGCCGCACUCUGGGUUUGGUGUUAUCAGCAUAUCUUCCUCGGGAAGGAAAUGUGCUGUCCUUACCUGGUCUGGCCUCUCUGUGACCCCAGAAUUUGUAAUAAUUCAGAAACAUUUGAAGAAACAAAGAUGCAGAGUCUUGACUCGUAACAUUGACCUUUCUUUACCUCCACUGAUGCUGCUUGACACACUUGCAGUAGUUUAUUUUUGGUUGCCUUCUGAAAUGGCCUAGGGGGUCACUCAGUUGUACAAUAACCACCACAUUAAAACAGAAAAAGACAUGAAACCUGACACACUGAACAACCUAGGUACCAAACUCAUUCACAGCAAAAUCAAUCUCUGACAUCUGAGGACUGCUGUGUAAAGUGAGAGUGUUAUCUUGCAUACCCCUCAACUAAGUAAUUCUACUAGUUGUUCUUGUAGAAUUAUGUCUUAUGGGCAAGGUGCAAACUCCUCCAUCACAAUUGUUGAGAAUAUCCUGUCCAUCCAGCAGGACAAACCACCAGAGUUGAUGGUACUGUGGUUUGCACACAGGAAAGAGUAAUCUUGGGAGUCCUCAGUUUUUACUCCAAACCCUGUGAAAUGUCACUAUAGCAGUUCAAACACAGACAAGCAAAUUUCAUCCUGACUAUCCAUUUACUGCCCUCCCUUAGCUGAUGAAUCAGUAAUACCCUACAGUGAACAACACUUGGCUAAAGCUAUGAAAGUAACUGGAGUAUAAAAUGUACUCCAGAGGGAGGGUUUCAAUGUCCAUUGCCAAGUCUGGUUUGUUAGCGCCACUGCUGAUUGAGUAGGCUGACCCAUGAAGAAUGUAGCAGCCAGACAGAGCCUGUGCAUUGAGCCUGUGGAAGCAAACACUUUUAAUUAAGAUAUGUACAUUAUGUGAAAGGGAUGGACCCAGAACAGACCUGCCAGCUGAAAACUUGGCACACAUGAGCUACAGUUGACCAUAGAGACAGCAGGAAUUUGCACCACCACAAUCAAUAACCUCAUGGUCCAGCAUAUCCCUCAUUAACCAUUAGAGACCAGCAAUUGGAUCAAGCUUGCUUAAUUGAGGUGUGCAUGAGGGCAUGGCAGGGAAUGGCAUCAGGCUUACCUAAAACUGAGGGACUAGCCGGGUGAAACCACAAUACAGAGCAGUCCCACAACCAAUGGAUCAUAUGAAAGCUCAUUUGCUUUCUGAAUGUUUGGUCGUGAAUGAUUGGGGUAAAUUAAACAGCUAAUAGACUGAGGUAGCUCCACGUCAUCCUCAUUCUCUGUGAUGUUAGGGUUCAACAUGAGAGUACGAAUCAUUCAUAAGCAUAUUCAGCUAGAAGUGUCAAGUUAGAUGAUUCAUCUCUGCUUCUUCCUGAGAUCCUUAAUGUCACAAAAAACAGAUUUGUCUACUUCGACUUACUCCAUGUGAUACAAAGAAAUAGUUGAGAGCAUUGAAUACAGCAAAGACAACGGGACCAGUCAACACCCAGGCUUGUAAUACUGAAGGCUUGUACUCCAGAAAUAACUUUGCCUUUAGUCAACCUGUUGCAAUGCAGCAUAUGGAAUCUAUCCAGAAUGGAGGAAAGAAGCUAUUAAUAUGAUGGCUUGUAUGCUAUUGUACAAUACCUAUAAGAUGGUGAUACAUUUUGUGACUGUCGAAAGAUGGUCACGAGCAUUUGAGGUAAAAAAAGUGUGGUGGUUGAUACUGCCCCCUGUAUUUCUCUGGUGCUGAUGUGCAGUGAGUAACAUAUCCAUUGAUCCAUUGUUCCUCCAGAUAGACGGAAUUCACAUUGGAAUUCCAGGAGAGACACAAAAUGCUGGAGUAACUCGGCGGGUCAGGCAUCGUCUCUGGAGCAAAAGGACAGGUGAUGUUUCGGGUUGGGAUCCAUCUUCAGGCUAUUUUUCAGAAGGAUCCCGACCAGAAACGUCACCUAUCCUUUUAUUUCCAGAGUUGCAGCCUGACCUGAUGAAUUACUCCAGCACAGUCAACCGUGAGUCCAAGACUUGAUGGUAAGUUUGGAAGUGCCUAAUCUUGCUGUGAUUCCACAGUAUUGUAGUGGAUAUCUUAUCUCAGUUCAGUUACUAGGCCUAAUCUAGCACAGAAAUUAAGAACGCAUUUAUAUUCAUUGGGAGUGUAGUGCACAGAUGUAGGAGACAAUGCAGAAGGGAA